CGGCACGGGUGAGUAACACGUAUCCAACCUGCCGUCUACUCUUGGACAGCCUUCUGAAAGGAAGAUUAAUACAAGAUGGCAUCAUGAGUCCGCAUGUUCACAUGAUUAAAGGUGUUCCGGUAGACGAUGGGGAUGCGUUCCAUUAGAUAGUAGGCGGGGUAACGGCCCACCUAGUCUUCGAUGGAUAGGGGUUCUGAGAGGAAGGCCCCCACAUUGGAACUGAGACACGGUCCAA
rnacentral:rRNA from 1 species